rnacentral:misc_RNA from 1 species
GAAUUUGUAAAAAGGGAGCCACUGCAAGCACCACAGAUAGAUCAAGAAUUAAGAAUCAUAAAAAUCAUUGAAUCAAACCACCAUCAUCACUACUCUUUACACACAACAAAUCCCAGAGCUUCUCAUUCAAUGACAGGUUCAUAUGAGGACCAAGCAAAUGGCACACAAAUAAGCAAGUCCAAUAAUUUAAAUUCUAAUAAAACAUCAUGUAGAAAGGAAGAACUAGAAGGGCUAACCUCUCCUGGUUAUCUCCCAAACGC